GAGAGGUGGGACAGGAUUUUUAGGGUUAUUCUGGGGAGGUAGGCUUAGGAAGGGUGAGCAACCCCUCAGCGGGGUGCCUUGGUUUCAGCUAGGAUGUUUUCCUCCAGGUAGCAGCACCAAGGAGCCCAGAGAAAGCAAGUGUCCCGGCUCACAGAAGCUCCAGCGGAUCAACAAUUUCCUUUCGGAGAAUGGAAUAUGCAUGUGGAUUCCAUUUGAAGGUAGAAGAGAUUCCAAAUUCACUCAACUGGGCAUAAAAAGCAAGGUUGCUUGUAUACCUUUUUCAGUUUGAAAAGACAAAUUCUCAUCGACCAUUCCCUCCUCAUUCAGAGAAGGUGGGUCCUCAGAAGAGCCCCCCCCCCCC